rnacentral:rRNA from 1 species
ACUCCUACGGGAGGCAGCAGCAGGGAAUAUUGCACAAUGGGCGAAAGCCUGAUGCAGCGACACCGCGUGCGGGAUGACGGCCUUCGGGUUGUAAACCGCUUUCAGGAGGGAAGAAAAUGACGGUACCUCCAGAAGAAGCUCCGGCCAACUACGUGCCAGCAGCCGCGGUAAUACGUAGGGAGCAAACGUUGUCCGGAUUUAUUGGGCGUAAAGGGCUCGUAGGCGGUUCAACAAGUCGGUCGUGAAAGCCCGGAGCUCAACUCCGGGACGCCGGUCGAAACUGUUGUGACUAGAGUUCGGUAGAGGUGAGUGGAAUUCUCGGUGUAGCGGUGGAAUGCGCAGAUAUCGAGAGGAACACCAUUAGCGAAGGCGGCUCACUGGGCCGAUACUGACGCUGAGGAGCGAAAGCGUGGGGAGCAAACAGGAUUAGAUACCCUGGUAGCUACGAG